GACGUAGUUGGUCACUUAGCAGCUUGUAAAAUCGAAAUUGUUGAUUUGAACGUCACCGCCGAAAUUUUUAAACGUCUGAUUUUUUUGAAAAUAAGGAUUUAUCUGAUCCAUCCAUUAAUUUGGGAUCUAUAAAUCAGGCUUUUGAAUAAACUAGUAAUUAUUGGAGUUAGUAAAAUUCAUUUUGAGGAUAUAUUACUAGUUUAGUCCAAUUUUUGGGAUAAAAUACGGCUGUGGUGUCAUUUCUUCGAUUUGAUACGAAUGAAUGUUUGGUUUGAGGCCAGAAAACGGGUUUCUGUAUCGAAGUUGUACUGAAGACACGUGAUCCUCUGAAAGCUGGAAGACCCCAUCGAUUUUGGGGUUUUUCCACGUGGUUUUUAUUUUGGGGUUUGAAUCUCAAUAACUGGAUUUCAGAUGAGUUACUUUAAUGAUUUUGAUUUGUAACCAUUUAAUUUGCUGAUCUUUUUUUUUUAAUCUGUAGAAUUUGAUAAUUUAGGUUGCGGUAAUUUAUUUGUAUAUUUUAUUUGUUGAAUUCAGGUAUCUACAUUAGGUUGGUUUUUUUUUUUUAAUUUAUUAGUAUUUCCUUUUAUAAUUUCUUAUGUACACGGCUCUUGAUCGGAUAGUCAAUUGUUUAUUUUCCGCUACGUGUACUCGACCUUACCAUUCGCAGAGCUCUACGAUUGCGUCUCGAGAUUUAUAAAUUGCAUUUUUUUUUUAUAUACGUUUAUAUUUUUUUUGUUGCUACCCAUAUUUAGGUAAUUUACCCAGUGAUCAGGGGUCGUUGUUUGGUUCAGUUUGGUUAGUUUUUGUAGUUAGUUUAGUGUAAUUUUUAAAAAAAGUGUUCAAUAUAUUAUGUGUUCAAUUAAAGUGUCAAAGGUGUAGUAUUAUUCCGAUUCUCUAGGCAAAUUCGGGAAUUUAGGUACACUGGAUUGGUGUUUGGGGCAUGAAUUUGUCUGGCGCCCUCUUUAACAACAAAAUAGUAAAAUUGGGAAUCCACCCCAUCUCCACUGUAUAAAAGCUAGCCCGCAACACCUGUGCUCUCACCUCCAACGAAUUUUGUGUUGCGUUGUGAGGUGGUGGCAAGAUAUAUUUUAAAUAAAGUAGGGAACACAAGAACAGAAAUUAGACAACGAUUCUCAUUUCACCAAGAAAAAUAAUCAACAGACUGUUUCAAACAUUUCGAAAAAAUCAUAUCGAAAAUUUUAAUAAAAAAAA
rnacentral:lncRNA from 1 species